AUUGGUGGCGACCGGCGCACGGGUGCGUAACGCGUAUGUAACCUGCCUGUAAUUAGGGGAUAGCUCGGUGAAAGUCGAAUUAAUACCCUAUAUUCUAUUUUAUCCGCAUGGGUUUUAUAGGAAAGAUUUAUUGAUUACAGAUGGGCAUGCGUUCCAUUAGCUUGUUGGUGAGGUAACGGCUCACCAAGGCAACGAUGGAUAGGGGGACUGAGAGGUUGACCCCCCACACUGGUACUGAGACACGGACCAGACUCCUACGGGAGGCAGCAGUGAGGAAUAUUGGUCAAUGGGCGGAAGCCUGAACCAGCCAAGUCGCGUGAAGGAAGACGGUCCUAUGGAUUGUAAACUUCUUUUGUAGAGGAAUAAUGGCGUCCACGUGUGGAUGAGAGGAAUGUACUCUACGAAUAAGUAUCGGCUAACUCCGUGCCAGCAGCCGCGGUAAUACGGAGGAUACGAGCGUUAUCCGGAUUUAUUGGGUUUAAAGGGUGCGUAGGUGGCGAACUAAGUCAGUGGUGAAAAGCUGCAGCUCA
rnacentral:rRNA from 1 species